GUUAUUACCAAUCAACGUAGAGGAGCUACGCAGAACCGGUUUACUAUCCCCAGCAAAUGAACGGAGCGUAAUAACUCUUCAUUCUGCAGUUCUGCUAUUUCCCCCGUACUGAAACUUUCAAGGUGUAAGACUGGCUCUAAUUACGUUAAGAAUGAAUCACCAUUGAUGAAGAAGCCGUGGCUUAUAAGAUCAGAAUUGCUUCAGGGGGUGUGUGUCAGUGUGGAGUGGUGCACAUGAUGUUGGGAGCUACACUGGCUGUUCAGCAGAUUCAGAUUUUAAUAGGGAGAUUUUUAAUGGGAAGAUGGUUUCUCAAAUUGUUUCUUGCAUACAAGAGGUGACAUAGUAAAGAUACUGAUCAAUACUUCACUAUCUCGCUAAAAAAAGCCAAAGCAAUACUGAAAAUGUCCACUCUCUAAGGCAGGUGGCAGGAUGGCUAUGGCCAUGUAUCAUUUUACAUUUUUUAUCAGUACUGUGUAUAUGAUUUUGAAAGUGACUGGUGAUUUCCACUGAAUCAGAAUAAAAAAAUCUUUAAAAAAACAAUCCAUAAAUUGUUGUGAAAAAACUGGCUGAAGAAAAGAAUGUUUACUCACGGCCGGAACAUGGAAACACACACUUUUCAGCCCGACCUUUGCUAUUUAUAGACCCACAAAAAUAUUUACUGCAGAGAUAUUUCUUUCUUGUAAUCAGAAAGAUGAGGAUAAUCAUUUGCAACUACUGAACGAAGACGCUAUUUUUAAAGUACCGACAUGGAUUCAAACAGUUUAUGACAUAAUUACGACCUCAUUUACCAAUGUUGAAUAAUCCAAGCAAUUUCUGUGUUUUUAUUCCUGUCUGUCUCCACCUAAUUAGUUAGUGCAUAGAAUGAAUUAUAUGAAUAAAAUAUAAUGUGCAGUAGAUGUUACAGCUUUGUUUUAAUUGCACCAUUACACUUUUUCCUUGAACUUUCACAGAGUAAAGUUUGGAUGUGAUAGCUGCCCUGGUAUUCACGAAAUGUGUAAACCUUCUGAUAAAUAUAUAUAUAUAUAUAUAUAUAUAUUGAGUGGUAACUUUGAAUAAACAGUUUAUUUAGCGAGGUCAGACAUAUUCAAAGUAAUGCUCCACAAAAAAAAAAAAAAAAAA